GGAGGGAUGGCAGAGCGGACGAAUGCGGCGGUCUUGAAAACCGCUGUCCCGAGCGAUCGGGACCGUGGGUUCGAAUCCCACUCCCUCCGCCA
rnacentral:tRNA from 1 species